rnacentral:misc_RNA from 1 species
CCAUCUCUCUGCAGGUGCGGAACCAAAAACCCCACAAACAAAAAUUGAAUGGGAUGAUGGAAAUUAGAAAUUUUUGACAUUAAAUCUCAGUGACUCGCAGACAUUAAUAAUAGUAGAACAGCCCAUGUCUUGCAUUAUUAGAGACGGCGAUGAUGGCGAUAACAUGCAAUGCAAGUACACUAACAAACUUUAAAAACAUUAACU